UAGUUCAUGAGCAUUAGGACUCUUCAUCUACCAUCAGAUUAGAUAGGAACCUCUAAUGUGUGUGACCCCGCAGGUUCGAUCCUAAGCUGGUAGCACAGGAACCAAUUUCUGUACUAAUCGAAGUGACCAUCUAGCAAUGGUACCCGAUAUCCAGAUAGGUCGAAUAGUCAUAAUCGCAACACUCAGAACCUACGUGAAUAUGGUUACUGUAUAAUUCAUCC
rnacentral:lncRNA from 1 species